rnacentral:rRNA from 1 species
GAUGAGCGCUGGCGGCGUGCCUAAUACAUGCAAGUCGAGCGAACAGACGAGGAGCUUGCUCCUCUGACGUUAGCGGCGGACGGGUGAGUAACACGUGGAUAACCUACCUAUAAGACUGGGAUAACUUCGGGAAACCGGAGCUAAUACCGGAUAAUAUAUUGAACCGCAUGGUUCAAUAGUGAAAGACGGUUUUGCUGUCACUUAUAGAUGGAUCCGCGCCGCAUUAGCUAGUUGGUAAGGUAACGGCUUACCAAGGCAACGAUGCGUAGCCGACCUGAGAGGGUGAUCGGCCACACUGGAACUGAGACACGGUCCAGACUCCUACGGGAGGCAGCAGUAGGGAAUCUGCCGCAAUGGGCGAAAGCUUGACGGAGCAACGCCGCGUGAGUGAUGAAGGUCUGCGGAUCGUAAAACUCUGUUAUUAGGGAAGAACAAAUGUGUAAGUAACGAUGCACGUCUUGACGGUACCUAAUCAGAAAGCCACGGCUAACUACGU